rnacentral:rRNA from 1 species
GCAGCACAGAGAAACUUGUUUCUCGGGUGGCGAGCGGCGGACGGGUGAGUAAUGCCUGGGAAAUUGCCCUGAUGUGGGGGAUAACCAUUGGAAACGAUGGCUAAUACCGCAUGAUGCCUACGGGCCAAAGAGGGGGACCUUCGGGCCUCUCGCGUCAGGAUAUGCCCAGGUGGGAUUAGCUAGUUGGUGAGGUAAGGGCUCACCAAGGCGACGAUCCCUAGCUGGUCUGAGAGGAUGAUCAGCCACACUGGAACUGAGACACGGUCCAGACUCCUACGGGAGGCAGCAGUGGGGAAUAUUGCUCAAUGGGCGCAAGCCUGAUGCACCCAUGCCGCGUGUGUGAAGAAGGCCUUCGGGUUGUAAAGCACUUUCAAUAAGGAGGAAGGUGGUAGUGUUUAUAGCGCUAUCAUUUGACGUUACCUACACCCCAAGCACCGGCUAACUCCGUGCCAGCAACCGCGGUAAUACGGAAGGUGCGAGCGUUAAUCGGAAUUACUGGGCGUAAAGCGCAUGCAGGUGGAUUGUUAAGUCAUAUGCGAAAGCCCCGGGCUCAACCUGGGAAUUGCAUUUGAAACUGUCAAACUACGAUAAUGUAUAUGGGGCUACAAUUUCAUUGUAACGUUGAAAUGCAAGCCAUCAGAACGAAUAUAAU